rnacentral:rRNA from 1 species
GGCCGAUUAGCUAGUUGGCGGGGUAACGGCCCACCAAGGCGAAGAUCGGUAGCCGGCCUGAGAGGGCACACGGCCACACUGGCACUGAAACACGGGCCAGACUCCUACGGGAGGCAGCAGUGGGGAAUCUUGCACAAUGGAGGAAACUCUGAUGCAGCGACGCCGCGUGAGCGAUGAAGCCCUUCGGGGUGUAAAGCUCUUUCGACGGGAACGAUAAUGACGGUACCCGAAGAAGAAGCUGCGGCUAACUACGUGCCAGCAGCCGCGGUAAUACGUAGGCAGCGAGCGUUGUUCGGAAUUACUGGGCGUAAAGAGUGUGUAGGCGGUGUUCUAAGUCUGUUGUGAAAUCUCCCGGCUUAACUGGGAGGGUGCGGCGGAGACUGGAAUGCUAGAGUAUGGGAGAGGUAAGCGGAAUUCCUGGUGUAGCGGUGAAAUGCGUAGAUAUCAGGAGGAACACCUGUGGUGUAGACAGCUUACUGGACCAUGACUGACGCUGAGACACGAAAGCGUGGGUAGCA